rnacentral:rRNA from 1 species
GACGAACGCUGGCGGCGUGCCUAAUACAUGCAAGUAGAACGCUGAAGGAGGAGCUUGCUUCUCUGGAUGAGUUGCGAACGGGUGAGUAACGCGUAGGUAACCUGCCUGGUAGCGGGGGAUAACUAUUGGAAACGAUAGCUAAUACCGCAUAAGAGUAGAUGUCGCAUGACAUUUGCUUAAAAGGUGCAAUUGCAUCACUACCAGAUGGACCUGCGUUGUAUUAGCUAGUUGGUGAGGUAACGGCUCACCAAGGCAACGAUACAUAGCCGACCUGAGAGGGUGAUCGGCCACACUGGGACUGAGACACGGCCCAGACUCCUACGGGAGGCAGCAGUAGGGAAUCUUCGGCAAUGGACGGAAGUCUGACCGAGCAACGCCGCGUGAGUGAAGAGGGUUUUCGGAUCGUAAAGCUCUGUUGUAAGAGAAGAACGAGUGUGAGAGUGGAAAGUUCACACUGUGACGGUAUCUUACCAGAAAGGGACGGCUAACUACGUG